GUACCUUGUGUAUCAGGGUUUACUGAAUUUUAUUAUUUAUUUUUAUUUCCCGAUUCUAAAAGGAGCUAUUAGCUUAUUUUGGUUGUUGUUUUAUUAACAUUAAUAAUAGGCUAAUAGUAAUGAAAUGUUAUUCGUCUUUAGGGGUUUCUGGUUUUUCAAGAAAUGAAUUUAAUUCAUACGUCUUAUUUAGAGUUUUAUUAUUUGUUUAUUUAUUUUUAUUUGGCGUUAAGAUUGGGAGGGAUUAGCUUCUUAUUUUAUUUUUAUAAUUUUUUGUUUUGUUUAGUCUUGUGGGUUUUAUAGUGAUUUUCAAUUUGAUUAUGUUAAAAUUUUAUUUGUUUUGUUCUUUUAUUUUUGUUUGUUUAAUUAUUUAUUGAAAUGUAUUCUUUAUCUUUGGUUUAUGGUUAGUAAUUAUUGUAGAAUUAGUAAAUUUGUUGUUAGGUUGUUUUAUUUGUGUUAAUUUUCUUUGAGGAACUAGGCAAAUUUCAUGUCCGCCUGUUUAACAAAAACAUCUUUUCUCGUUAGUUUUUGAAGUAUGGCCUGCCCGCUGACUUUAGUGUUGAAGGGCCGCGGUAUUUUGACCGUGCAAAGGUAGCAUAGUCAUUAGUUCUUUAAUUGUGAUCUGGUAUGAAUGGCUUGACGAGGCAUGGGCUGUCUUAAUUUUUAAUUGUUUAUUGAAUUUGGUCUUUGAGUUAAAAUUCUUAGAUGUUUUUAUGGGACGAGAAGACCCUAUAGAGUUUAACAUUUGUUAUGGUCCCCUUUCUGUUUGUGAGGGUUCAUUGGGCCGUUUAAUAUGUUUUGUUGGGGUGAUGGGAGGGAUUAAUUUAACCCCUCCUUUUUAUUAUUAUAUUUAUUUAUAUUUACUUGAUCCAUUUAUUUUGAUUGUAAGAUUAAAUUACCUUAGGGAUAACAGCGUAA
rnacentral:rRNA from 1 species